UGCAAGUCGAGCGGCAGCACGGGGAGCUUGCUCCCUGGUGGCGAGCGGCGGACGGGUGAGUAAUGCAUAGGAAUCUGCCCGGUAGUGGGGGAUAACCUGGGGAAACCCAGGCUAAUACCGCAUACGUCCUACGGGAGAAAGCAGGGGAUCUUCGGACCUUGCGCUAUCGGAUGAGCCUAUGUCGGAUUAGCUGGUUGGUGAGGUAAUGGCUCACCAAGGCGACGAUCCGUAGCUGGUCUGAGAGGAUGAUCAGCCACACUGGGACUGAGACACGGCCCAGACUCCUACGGGAGGCAGCAGUGGGGAAUAUUGGACAAUGGGCGCAAGCCUGAUCCAGCCAUGCCGCGUGUGUGAAGAAGGCCCUCGGGUUGUAAAGCACUUUCAGCGAGGAAGAAGGCUUGGCGGUCAAUACCCGUCAAGAAGGACAUCACUCGCAGAAGAAGCACCGGCUAACUCCGUGCCAGCAGCCGCGGUAAUACGGAGGGUGCGAGCGUUAAUCGGAAUUACUGGGCGUAAAGCGCGCGUAGGUGGUUUGGCACGCCGGUUGUGAAAGCCCCGGGCUCAACCUGGGAACGGCAUCCGGAACGGCCAGACUAGAGUGCAGGAGAGGAAGGUAGAAUUCCCGGUGUAGCGGUGAAAUGCGUAGAGAUCGGGAGGAAUACCAGUGGCGAAGGCGGCCUUCUGGCCUGACACUGACACUGAGGUGCGAAAGCGUGGGUAGCAAACAGGAUUAGAUACCCUGGUAGUCCACGCCGUAAACGAUGUCGACUAGCCGUUGGGACCUUUUAAGGACUUAAUGG
rnacentral:rRNA from 1 species